UCCAUGCCUGGAGAUUUGUGCUUUUUCUUUGCCUCUGACCCUUCCUUCUGCAUUUUUUCUUCUGUUUUUCCGACUGACCUCGGAGCGAAAAAUGGGGACGCGGGGUGAGGGGAGGAGGUGACUUUGCUUGCCCGGAGGCUGCCUUCCCCGUCCGGAUGAAGAACUUGCACGGUAUAAAGUGUCUAUGCUGCUGUUUGUAGUUCUCUCUUUUGGUAUAAGAAUGUUUCACUUCACUAAGAUUUUUGGGACUCAAGUGUUGAUUGGUAAGUUUUUGAAAUCAAGUGUCUAUGCUGCUGUUUGUAGCUCUUCCUUUUGGUAUAGUAAUGUUUCUUUUCACUAAGAUUUUUCGGACUGAAGUGUUGACUGGCUAGUCUUUGAAAUGGACUUGAAACUUUCAUUUUUCUGAAAGCAUUGGCCAUUUUGUAUUUUCUACUGAAGCGCUGGAGGACUACUUUUAUCAUUAGAUUCUGUCUUUUCAUGUUAUUACCAGUUGAAAACCCACUUUACCCUUCUCCUGGACUCAACUAAGCUUGCUAAGGCUGCUUAGAUUUAGAGUUAUGUAAUGCUUUUCUCAACUAUAUUCUUAUUCUAACAUCAUCACUAGAUAAGGAUGUGUACUUAUGAAAAGAUGCCCUUGUACAUGUUUGGAUUGAGAUAGAUUCAAAUUGCACUCUGUAUAAGUUCUAAAAGCAAUGAUAAUUGCACCGUUGCAUUUUCAGAUUUCUGUAUAAUUUCAAAUAUUAGGCAUCUAGCUUCUUUUCGAUUUUUGACAUUUUUGUUAAAUGCUCUGUCUAUAUCCUCUACCAAGAUUUUUUGAAAUUUGAUUUGCACCCAUUUCUUACAGUUGCAAUUGUAGCCUUUACCUAUUUUUUUAGUAGUUUUUGUGCAAUUGCAUCCUUUGAUUCUGAAGCUAAAUAACCUAUAACUAAGCCAAUAUACGUUGACCUGCAGUAGCAGACCCAGGUUUUCAAUAUCGGGUGGGACAAACACUGCAUUUCUAAUAUUGGGUGGGGCGAAUACACUGCGGUUCUAUUUUUUCCUAAUUUUUCUGAUAAUUUGUACUAAGAAUAACGUGGGGCGUGCCCCACCCAAUAACCCGACUGGGUCCGCCCCUGUUGAACUGUAGUAAUCAAACCAUGUAUUGAAGGUUUCGGGUUGAGGUUUGGGUGUUAGGGGACAUGUUACCUCAUCUACAAGCUUCAAAUGGCCACCAAUUCCGAUUUGCUGUGUAUUUGCUAGGAUCGGCACCAUGCUGCUCAUAAUAUCACCAUUUGGUAGGUCAAUGAAAUCUAUUUGUAAGCAACAAUGCUAGCAAAAGAACUUGGUUAAACUUGAGUUAGCAAAACAGAUCUGAUCAUGGUUCCUCUUUUCUGUUGUUUCUCCCUGCUGCAGCGACGUAGGGGGCAUGAGAUCAAGGGGAGCAGGAGCAAACACAAUACCUUGGCGUCUCCAUGUUGAGGCUACUUUUUGAUUCAGAAUUUACAACUUAGUAAUUCUGAACCCUCUUCUGUUUGUUCAGGUAUUAUGUUGUUAAAUUUGUUUUUGGGUUUUCCAUUCAUGUUGAUUUUUGCAGUCAUUUGCAACUCUACCUUUUGUCUGCCUGGGUUAUUUUGGUUGUUAGCAGCUGCAAUUACAGUUUUCUAAACAUAUAUAACCCCAAUUGAUUUUUGAUUUUUGGAACCUUUGAAAUUGGGAUACAGGGGCCAGUUACUGGUUUGACCGUACUGGAAUUGAAUUGAAAUAGUUCAGUUCAUUUUUUAUUGCAAUUACUACUUGCAACCAAGGUUCUUAUGAAGUGCAAUUGCAUUUGUUCACUACUGGAAUUCCACUCUAGUUUGUGUUGUUCCUUUUUUUUGGUAGAUUUUUAGCCUUUGUUCUUUGAAGAUGAUAGGCACACAAUUCAUUGCACUUUAUUCCUUCUUCCAGCCUUUUAGAAGCAAGCGUGCCCCUGUUCCUUGCCUUAACUCAAUUGCAGGUACUUUCAUGUGCGCAAUUCGAUGCCUUAUCAAAUGCAAUCGCAUUUGCUGAAUUCCAGAACUGCACACCAGUUUGUUUCUUCUUGUGUCCAGGUUCAGGUUUUGAUUGAUACAUACGUGGACAGCUCCUUGUUGUAUGGAUCUACUUGUGCUUUAUGGACAGUUUGGCGAUAGAAGGGACAGUAUAGCAAUGAAACAUAUUGGUCUACUUAUGAUGCAUGGACAGCUUGGGGUGAGGGAAGGCAGGGUUUCCCUUGAACCGGGCAAUGAACAGCCUCCGCAGGUGUUAGUUCUUCAGAUAGAUGCAGGGAUAUGACAUAGACGAGGCCGUGGACGAAGCGCAGGUCGCCAAGGGCACCUGCGGGUGGAGGUGUCGCCACUGGAGCUGCAGUGUAAAGUUGCUGCUGCACUGAGAUGUGCUUGUGUGCGUAUUUAAUUUUUGGCCAGGACGAAGGAUACGUUGCUCUUUCCCUACCUGGAAACGGAGAAGGAUUUUUUUCCCCCUUCCUUGCUCCUUGUUAUUGAUUUUUGACAAUCCAAAUGUUUUUCUUUUUGCCAUUGCAGUGGCAGCCAGAAAGUUAAGCUGAUUUGCUCCUGUUUUUUUAGAGUUCUGAAUCAGAGGUCGUGUUUUUUUCCUCCUGUUUUUUAUAGUUCUUAAACACCAGAUUCUUGUAUGCCUCUGAGUUGAGAUGCCGAUUGUUUGUCACAUUGGCAUUUAGAUUUUAUUUGUUGGCAGCAAUCUUCAUGAAAAGUCCAAACUCCCCUUGGCUUCCUCCUUUUCUCCUCUCUACUCCCUUUUGCCCCGGCCAGGAGCUAGCAGACUGAUAAUUUGUUCACAAGAUUCUGUUAUUCAGUAACAACAAAUGCUCAGACUGAUAAAUUGAUGAUUGUUGUCGAGAGUUCAGGCUUUUUUGGUCUUAGAAUUUCAUUUGGAUCUGAAGAUAGUGCUUGCUUGAAGGGGAAAUAAAAAUCCAUCAGGAUGAUACCUGUGCUUAGUCUGCUACUUGCUCUACUUCAUUCUUCUGGACUUCUGUUAGCUGCUUCCAAAAGUUUGUUUGAUUAUACUCAGGAAUCUGGUG